UACAGUCACAGCCACUCUUUCGUUCCAGAGACAAAAUCAUGGAUUAGACAUACUCAUGCAGCAUAGCAUGCACUAUCCCACCUAGCACUUUUGUCCCAUACUUGUAGAACGCAUAACACAGCUUUUCACCUGGCUUAAAGAAUCUCAAUGCAAGACAACAUAGCUCAACCAUUGUCAUAACAUUUCUCCUAGCUUUUGCUUCUUUUUGCCACCUUAAACUAAAACUAUCUCACACACCAUUAAUUAUAUAUUUUACAAGCAUUCAACAACACAGGAUAAC